UACAGAGGUCUCAACCGUUGUUCGGAUUCAUUGGGCGUAAAGGGUGCGUAGGCGGUCGCGCAAGUCGGAUGUGAAAUCUUAGGGCUCAACCCUGAAACUGCAUUCGAUACUGCGUGGCUCGAGUACUGGAGAGGAGACUGGAAUUUACGGUGUAGCAGUGAAAUGCGUAGAUAUCGUAAGGAAGACCAGUGGCGAAGGCGAGUCUCUGGACAGUUACUGACGCUGAGGCAGAAGGCCAGGGGAGCAAACGGG
rnacentral:rRNA from 1 species